AUUGAACGCUGGCGGAAUGCUUUACACAUGCAAGUCGAACGAUGAACCUUAGCUUGCUAAGGGGAUUAGUGGCGAACGGGUGAGUAAUAUAUCGGAACGUGCCUUGUAAUGGGGGAUAACUAGUCGAAAGACUGGCUAAUACCGCAUACGCCCUGAGGGGGAAAGUAGGGGAUCUUCGGACCUUACGUUAUAAGAGCGGCCGAUAUCUGAUAAGCUAGUUGGUGGGGUAAUGGCCUACCAAGGCGACGAUCAGUAGCUGGUCUGAGAGGACGACCAGCCACACUGGAACUGAGACACGGUCCAGACUCCUACGGGAGGCAGCAGUGGGGAAUUUUGGACAAUGGGCGAAAGCCUGAUCCAGCCAUUCCGCGUGAGUGAAGAAGGCCUUCGGGUUGUAAAGCUCUUUCGCAAGGGAAGAAAACUUACAUUCUAAUAAAGUGUGAGGCUGACGGUACCUUGAUAAGAAGCACCGGCUAACUACGUGCCAGCAGCCGCGGUAAUACGUAGGGUGCGAGCGUUAAUCGGAAUUACUGGGCGUAAAGCGUGCGCAGGCGGUUUGGCAAGUCAGAUGUGAAAUCCCCGAGCUCAACUUGGGAACUGCGUUUGAAACUGCCAGACUAGAAUAUGUCAGAGGGGGGUAGAAUUCCACGUGUAGCAGUGAAAUGCGUAGAGAUGUGGAGGAAUACCAAUGGCGAAGGCAGCCCCCUGGGAUAAUAUUGACGCUCAUGCACGAAAGCGUGGGGAGCAAACAGG
rnacentral:rRNA from 1 species